GAUGAACGCUGGCGGCGUGCCUAAUACAUGCAAGUCGAGCGAACAGACGAUGAGCUUGCUCCUCGCACGGUAGCGGCGGGCGGGUGUGUAACACGUGUAUAACCUACCUAUAAGACGGGGAUAACUUCGGGAAACCGGAUCUAAUACCGGAUAAUAUCUUGAACCGCAUGGUUCAAUAGUGAGAGACGGUUUUGCUGGCACGUAUAGAGGGAUCUGGGCCGCAUUAGCUAGUUGUUAAGGUAACGGCUUACCAAGGCAACGAUGCGUGACCGAACUGAGAGGGUGAUAGGCCACCCUGGAGCUGAGACGCGGUCAAUAGUCCUAAGGGACGCCGCAGUAGGGAACCUGACGCAAUGGGCGAAAGCAUGACGGAGCGAGGCCGAGUGUGAGAUGACGGUGCUCGGAUCGUAAAAAUGUGUUACGAGGGAAGAACAGAUUUGUACGUAAAUAUGCCCGUCUUGACGGUAACUGAUAAGAAAGCCACGGCUAACUACGUG
rnacentral:rRNA from 1 species